UACAACUGUUUGGGAUUACAGUGUAGUUGCGGUGCGUGAAACAAGUCGGUCAGGGGACGAACGUGAGUUUACGUGAACUUCGCCGCUUUUUGUAUUCUUCAAUGAGCUCGUCUAGGCACUUGUAGCUGCUUGGAGUGAAGACGGGACUGGGAGACCGCUGCCGGGAUCACUACCAGAGUUUUUAAUUCCAGUCGGGAUUAAACAUGAAAUUCUGGAUUUGUGUACUCGCUGUCAGCUGGGCAGUAGAAGCGACACACGGGGGGACCAGCCAGGAGCCGUGUAAUGGUCUGGACUGUAGUGGAGGAUGUAACUGUAACCCAGAGAAAGGUGG